rnacentral:rRNA from 1 species
GGACCAUGUACAAGUCCCUUGGAACAGGGCGUCAUAGAGGGUGAGAAUCCCGUCCAUGACAUGGACUCCCGGUGCUCUGCGAUACACCUUCAAAGAGUCGAGUUGUUUGGGAAUGCAGCUCAAAAUGGGUGGUAAAUUCCAUCUAAAGCUAAAUACAGGCGAGAGACCGAUAGCGAACAAGUACCGUGAGGGAAAGAUGAAAAGAACUUUGGAAAGAGAGUUAAACAGUACGUGAAAUUGUUGAAAGGGAAACGCUUGGAGUCAGUCGCGUCAGCUGGGAUUCAGCCUUGCUUCUGCUUGGUGCACUUCUCAGUUGAUGGGCCAGCAUCAAUUUCGAGUGCCGGAAAAUGGAAGGAGGAAUGUGGCAGCUUUUGCUGUGUUAUAGCCUCUUGCCGUACACGGUGCUUGGGAUUGAGGACUGCAGCACGCCUUUUGGUCGGGGUUUUCCCACGCCACGUGCUUCGGAUGCUGGCGUAAUGGCUUUAAGCGACCCGUCUUGAAACACGGACCAAGGAGUCUAACAUGCCUGCGAGUGUUUGGGUGCAAAACCCAGGCGCGUAAUGAAAGUGAAAAGUUGGGACUCUUUAGUGAGGCACCGACGCCCGAUCCUGAAGUUUUCUGACGGA